rnacentral:rRNA from 1 species
UACGGGGGGGGCAAGCGUUGUUCGGAAUUACUGGGCGUAAAGGGCUCGUAGGUGGCCAACUAAGUCAGACGUGAAAUCCCUCGGCUUAACCGGGGAACUGCGUCUGAUACUGGAUGGCUUGAGUGUGGGAGAGGGAUGCGGAAUUCCAGGUGUAGCGGUGAAAUGCGUAGAUAUCUGGAAGAACACCGGUGGCGAAGGCGGCAUCCUGGACCACGACUGACGCUGAGUGAGCGAAAGCCAGGGGAGCAAACGGG